CUGGCUCAGGACGAACGCUGGCGGCGUGCUUCAUACAUGCAAGUCGAACGAUAAGGUCUCUUCGGAGAUACAUAAGUGGCGGACGGGUGAGUAAUGUGUAGAGAAUCUGCCCUAGAGUGGGGGACAACAGAGGGAAACUUCUGCUAAUACCCCAUAUGCGCGUACUUGAGAUAGUAUUCGUGAAAACUCCGGUGCUCUAGGAUGAGUCUGCAUCUGAUUAGCUAGUAGGCGGUGUAAUGGACCACCUAGGCGACGAUCAGUAGCUGGUUUGAGAGGAUGAUCAGCCACAAUGGGACUGAGACACGGCCCAUACUCCUACGGGAGGCAGCAGUAGGGAAUUUUGCGCAAUGGGGGAAACCCUGACGCAGCAACGCCGCGUGAAUGAAGAAGCCCUUCGGGGUGUAAAGUUCUGUCAGUGGGGACGAAACUUGACGGUACCCACAGAGGAAGCAUCGGCUAACUCCGUGCCAGCCGCCGC
rnacentral:rRNA from 1 species